AUUGAACGCUGGCGGCAUGCCUUACACAUGCAAGUCGAACGGCAGCACGGGAGCAAUCCUGGUGGCGAGUGGCGAACGGGUGAGUAAUAUAUCGGAACGUGCCCAGUCGUGGGGGAUAACGUGGCGAAAGCUACGCUAAUACCGCAUACGAUCUAUGGACGAAAGCGGGGAUCGCAAGACCUCGCGCGAUUGGAGCGGCCGAUAUCAGAUUAGGUAGCUGGUGAGGUAAAGGCUCACCAAGCCGACGAUCUGUAGCUGGUCUGAGAGGACGACCAGCCACACUGGGACUGAGACACGGCCCAGACUCCUACGGGAGGCAGCAGUGGGAAUUUUGGACAAUGGGCGCAAGCCUGAUCCAGCAAUGCCGCGUGCAGGAUGAAGGCCUUCGGGUUGUAAACUGCUUUUGUACGGAACGAAACGGUGAGCUCUAAUACAGUUUGCUAAUGACGGUACCGUAAGAAUAAGCACCGGCUAACUACGUG
rnacentral:rRNA from 1 species